rnacentral:rRNA from 1 species
CCAACGGGAGGCUGCAGUCGAGAAUCUUUCGCAAUGGGGGAAACCCUGACGACGCGACGCCGCGUGGAGGAUGAAGGCCUUCGGGUUGUAAACUCCUGUCAGCAGGGGAGAACAAGCUGUCGAUGAAUAAUCGAUAGCUUUGACAGUACCUGCAGAGGAAGCCACGGCUAACUCUGUGCCAGCAGCCGCGGUAAUACAGAGGUGGCAAGCGUUGUUCGGAUUUAUUGGGCGUAAAGGGUCCGUAGGCGGCCUGGAAAGUUGGAUGUGAAAUCCCACAGCUUAACUGUGGAACUGCAUUCAAAA